UCCCUGGUGGUUCAGUGGUUAAGAAUCUGCCUUGCAAUGCAGGGGAUGCAGGUUCAAUCCCUGGUCAGGGAA
rnacentral:tRNA from 1 species